rnacentral:lncRNA from 1 species
UUUUUGAAAGAUAUUUAAAAGACUUGAAGCUAUGUCCCAGAUUAUUUCAGUCCACACCAUAUUUAUAACCAUAGUAAACCUUAUCUUUUUUAUAAAAAGGAAACAUUGAAAAAUUCUAUUAUUUUUCAAUAAUUGUUUGAAGUUUUUCACAGCUUAAUAAGAGCUAAUUCAAAUUCAAGCAAUCAAGAUUCAGAAUACGGAUAAGAAGAAAAAAUGCUCAUAAAUCAACAGCUGACUUCAAAAUAGAGUGUACAUUAGAAGGUAAAAUAUCAGGCAAAAAGUCAAAUCCAAAAGACCAAAAGAUGCAAAGAAGGAUCAAAUAAUCCACAAAUUGUGUUUGAGAAGAUGAAAAAAGGGGUUUGUUCGGAUUCAGUGAAUGUAAUUUAUCCUACUCAAAACUCCGUGACGUUGUAUCUUAAAAGAUUUGAAUAGAAAAAAAUAUAUGUAGUACAUAUCAAAAGAUAAAACUAUUUGUCCAAUUUAAUUAAGAAGAUGAUGCAAAAAUAAGACAUAUUUUGCAAUGGAAUUACAUAAAUACAUACGUGACAAUCAAAUGUAUGUACAUGUUUAAUCAUGAUUAUUUAUAAUCUUUAGCAUAUUUGUGUUUCUUUUUCUUGUAGCUUAUUUUUA